UAAUGAGAAAUGGAAUCCAAAGCUGACAAAGGGCCUAUGGGACAGAGACACACCAGUGAGGUGCCUGUAAGUUCUGCUGAACUGUAAAUUUCCUCUUCCUCUCAUUGGGACCGAGGGCCAUAGGUACUAUGAGAAAAAUCCAGGGGAAAUGUCUAUUUCACAUCUGAAUUUCACAAUGCAGAAAGAAGUUAAUGAAUUGAGACAUGUGUGAGACUGGGAGCCACUGAAAGCAGACAUCUCAGAUGCUUUGAAUUUUACAGAUCCAAUCAACCUGGUAGCUCCUUUGAGAUUUUCAGUUUGAGAGAAGACCAUAAUUUCCAG